GACGUAGGGCGCGAGCGUUGUCCGGAUUUAUUGGGCGUAAAGAGCUCGUAGGCGGUGUGUCGCGUCGGAUGUGAAAGCCCGGGGCUUAACCCCGGGUCUGCAUUCGGUACGGGCAUGCUGGAGUUCGGUAGGGGAGACUGGAAUUCCUGGUGUAACGGUGAAAUGCGCAGAUAUCAGGAGGAACAGCCGGUGGCGAAGGCGGGUCUCUGGGCCGAUACUGACGCUGAGGAGCGAAAGCGUGGGGAGCGAACAGG
rnacentral:rRNA from 1 species